UUACACAUGGUGUAGUGGGAACACAGCCUUUUGCAAUUCAUCCGAUAGCGUUCAGUUAUAAAGGCAGUCUAGGGUUCGACUCCCUGUGUCUGAC